UUACCAGCACGUUAUGGUGGGCACUCUAAGGAGACUGACCGGUGGACAAACCGGAGGAAGGUGGGGAUGACGUCAAGUCAUCAUGGCCCUUACGGCCUGGGCUACACACGUGCUACAAUGGUCGGUACAAAGGGUUGCCAAGCCGCGAGGUGGAGCUAAUCCCAUAAAACCGAUCGUAGUCCGGAUCGCAGUCUGCAACUCGACUGCGUGAAGUCGGAAUCGCUAGUAAUCGUGAAUCAGAAUGUCACGGUGAAUACGUUCCCGGGCCUU
rnacentral:rRNA from 1 species